AACGCACAUUGCGCCCUUUGGCAUUCCGAAGGGCAUGCCCGUUCGAGCGUCAUUACACCCCUCAAGCCUGGCCUGGUAUUGGGCGACGGCAGUCUGCCGCGCCUCGAAGUGAUCGGCUGGACGGUUUGAAUCUCAGCGUUGUGGUUUCAUCAAUUCGCUGGCGAGGAUGACCGGACGCGCCGUUAAACCUCAAUCUCAGGUUGACCUCGGAUCGGGUAGGGAUACCCGCUGAACUUAA
rnacentral:misc_RNA from 1 species